rnacentral:rRNA from 1 species
AUUGAACGCUGGCGGCAUGCCUUACACAUGCAAGUCGAACGGUAACGGGCCUUCGGGUGCCGACGAGUGGCGAACGGGUGAGUAAUACAUCGGAACGUGCCCGAUCGUGGGGGAUAACGAGGCGAAAGCUUUGCUAAUACCGCAUACGAUCUACGGAUGAAAGCAGGGGACCGCAAGGCCUUGCGCGGACGGAGCGGCCGAUGGCAGAUUAGGUAGUUGGUGGGAUAAAAGCUUACCAAGCCGACGAUCUGUAGCUGGUCUGAGAGGAUGAUCAGCCACACUGGGACUGAGACACGGCCCAGACUCCUACGGGAGGCAGCAGUGGGGAAUGUUGGACAAUGGGCGCAAGCCUGAUCCAGCCAUGCCGCGUGCAGGAUGAAGGCCUUCGGGUUGUAAACUGCUUUUGUACGGAACGAAAAGCCUUCUUUUAAUACAGGAGGGUCAUGACGGUACCGGAGGAAUAAGCACCGGCUAACUACGUG